UGCGCGGGCCGGGCCCCUCUGGCGCAGCGUCUUCCUUGGGAAUGCUGCGUGAUGUCGGACCGCAUCG
rfam:Novosphingobium lindaniclasticum LE124 contig011, whole genome shotgun sequence.